GGGAAGAGUAACAACUUUAACAGAGAGGAUAAACGCUCUUUAGAGAGAGAAUAUGCUGUGGGCUGGAAGGGAAACAUGCUCUUUCCUCAGGCACCUGCGUUUGAGCACACUCCAUCAAAGCAUGGUGAUGGAAGACCUUGGAACCUUCAGGAGGUGGGGCUUGCUGGAGGAAGUGGAUCAUGGGAGGCAGGCUUUGAGGCUUGACAGUCAGGUCCUACUUCCGGUUCCUCUCUCUGGUUCCUGAAUGCUGAAGCAAUGCGACUGGCUGCUUCAGGCUCCCCCCGCUGUGAAUUCCACCCAGAUGUACGCCAGGAUGGACUUCUCUCUCCCUUCAAUUGUUUCUGGUUGCAGCAACAAGCGGUGGCAAUCUAGAUGCUGUGAUUUAGGACGAGUGCAACCUCUGGGGUGGUCGGCAAAGAUGUGAGUUCCCAAGGUUAACCUGCUCCUCUGCUACUAAGCUCCAGCAUUCGAUUCUAUUUGUAGAAAGGCUGUAACGCCUCGAGGGGGUGUGUUUACGUUCCGGUAAGAGAGAGCGGGAAGAAAACGAGACCAGGAAGGAUGCUGCCUAAUGUCAUUGGUUCCAUUCUAUCAGAAAAUAAUUGCUGCAAAAGAUGACUCUGCCUCUCCCUCGGGCCUCAGUUUACACUUCAUCGGCCACAACUGAGUGAUAAUGAAAGGCAGCCCGCGCCGUGCAUGAAGCUGCCAUACCAAGGGGGCAAGUGGGGCCCUUCAGAACCGGUAGAGAGAAGGGCAGGUGUUCAGAGUAUUGAAAACAUCCCAUCAGGGGGCAGCGACCUUGGAAACUGUGUCCCAGCUUUCCAGUUUGCCUUAGUUGUCUCCUGCCUAGAAACCCCUGGUGUGAAGACACUGUUGCCAGCUUCCUCUGUCUCCCCUGCUUUCAAAAUGGCUUUUAUCCACUUGGCGGGAGGAUUCCAUGUCACGACAGACUUCACGGCAGCAGCCCAAGUGGGUAGAAGAGGCUCUGCUGGGGCUGGAGAACCGGCUCAGUGGUUUGCAGCACUUGCUGUUCCCAGACAGUCUCAGAUUAGGGUCCCGGGUGGGACACUGGGAUGGAUAGUUGUGGGUCUGCAGUUUAUUAGAUGUGCCGCCCGCCCGCCCCUGCCCCUG
rnacentral:lncRNA from 1 species